rnacentral:rRNA from 1 species
CCCUUUGGUUCGGAAUAACAGUUGGAAACGACUGCUAAUACCGGAUGAUGACGAAAGUCCAAAGAUUUAUCGCCAGAGGAUGAGCCCGCGUAGGAUUAGCUAGUUGGUGUGGUAGAGGCGCACCAAGGCGACGAUCCUUAGCUGGUCUGAGAGGAUGAUCAGCCACACUGGGACUGAGACACGGCCCAGACUCCUACGGGAGGCAGCAGUGGGGAAUAUUGGACAAUGGGCGAAAGCCUGAUCCAGCAAUGCCGCGUGAGUGAUGAAGGCCCUAGGGUUGUAAAGCUCUUUUACCCGGGAUGAUAAUGACAGUACCGGGAGAAUAAGCCCCGGCUAACUCCGUGCCAGCAGCCGCGGUAAUACGGAGGGGGCUAGCGUUGUUCGGAAUUACUGGGCGUAAAGCGCACGUAGGCGGCUUUGUAAGUUAGAGGUGAAAGCCUGGAGCUUAACUCCAGAACUGCCUUUAAGACUGCAUCGCUUGAAUCCGGGAGAGGUGAGUGGAAUUCCGAGUGUAGAGGUGAAAUUCGUAGAUAUUCGGAAGAACACCAGUGGCGAAGGCGGCUCACUGGACCGGUAUUGACGCUGAGGUGC